rnacentral:rRNA from 1 species
AAGAGCUCAAAGUUGGAACCUGUUUGGCUUAGCUAAACCGGAUUGUAAACUGUAGAAGCGUUUUCCAGGCGCACCAAGCAAAUAAGUCCUUUGGAACAGGGCAUCAUAGAGGGUGAGAAUCCCGUCUUUGGCUUGAGUUGUCGUCUAUUGUGAUACGUUUUCAAAGAGUCAGGUUGUUUGGGAAUGCAGCCUAAAUUGGGUGGUAAAUCUCACCUAAAGCUAAAUAUUUGCGAGAGACCGAUAGCGAACAAGUACCGUGAGGGAAAGAUGAAAAGAACUUUGAAAAGAGAGUUAAACAGUAUGUGAAAUUGUUAAAAGGGAACCGUUUGGUGCCAGACUGGCUUGAUUGUAAUCAACCUGGGCUUCGGCUCGGGUGCACUUGCAGUCUAUGCCUGCCAACAACAGUUUGGUUUGGAGGAAAAAAUUAUAAGGAAUGUGGCCCCUCGGGGUGUUAUAGCUUUAUUUCAUACUCUGGACUGGACUGAGGAUCGCAGUGAAUGCCUUUAGGCAAGAUUGCUGGGUGCUUUCGCUAAUAAAUGCUAGAAUUUCUGCUUUGGGUGGUGCUAGUGUUUAAAGGAGGAACUCGCUUGGUAUAUUUUU